AUGAAAAAAGAUUCUUCACCCCUAAUGAAAUUAUCCAAUCAUUGACGAUAGAAAUAUCUAAAACAACACCAAUAAUUGACCAUGAGUACUUAAUGUGGUUAAAUUUGCUAAAGAUUCAUUUCAUCUGGUGGAAAAACUUUCUCGAGAUAAUAAAGCAAAGGAAUAUACAAUAAAAUAACAUUAAUACUAAUGGAUUCUACGAGUUCGAGCUUGAAAUUUACAGAGAAAGUUUGUGCUGCAUUUUUCCCAAUAAUAGCAAUAAUAGAAUGUUUAAUAUAUGCGGCAUCUGGUUAUUUUGGAUCUCAAAAAUUACAUCAUAGUCCAAAGAAGUUGCGGUAUGAGUACAGGGAUCUUGCUCGACUUGCUAAUGGAUCUAGAUGUAAUGUUUCAUUUUUAUACUCAGUUUUUAGUUUUUUUUUUUUUUGUUAAGUUUGUGUGUCCAAAUCGUUUUAUGAACUGUUUAGGGGUCGUUUGGUUUGAAGACAAAGUUAUGCUGGGAUGUUGUCAUUUGGGAUUUGUUAUGUUGGGGUUAGUUAUCCUGGUAUUAUUUUUUAUUGACUGUUUGGUUUGUUGUGUUCCGGUAUUUGACUGCGUUUCUUUUGAGCCGAGGGUCUAUCGAAAAUAACCUCUCUUUCGCGAGUUUUAUACCUCAAUUAUCAGUUGUUCUCUUUUCAUACAUGAAUUAUCAACAUCUAUGUAUUAAAACAUUUGAACUCAAAUUUUAGUACUUUAUGUUAAAUUUUGCUACCGAUUCAUUUUUUGAAGAGUUAAUGGUCAAAAACACAUCUAAACUAUCAUUUUUUCGCGAGUUUCAUACCUUAAUUAUCAGUUGUUCCUUUUUCCUACCUGAAUUAUCAGCAUUUAUGUAUUAAAACACACCUCAACUAUCAGUUAUUCUUCCCUUUUCUUACCUGAUAGGAUUUAGGAUCUCGAUGUAAUGCUCAUAUUUAAACUCAAUUUUUAAUAUUUUUUUGUUAAGUUUGUGUGUCCAAUUCAUUUUCUGUAGAGUUUAUGGUCAAAAACACAUCUGAACUAUCACUUUUCGUGAGUUUUACACCUUAUUAUCAGUUGGGAUUAGUUAUGUUGGAAUCUCGAUGUAAUGCUCAUAUUUAAACUCAAUUUUUAGUACUUUUUGUUAAAUUUGUAUGUCCAAUUCAUGUUCUCAACUGUAAGGAUCGUUUGGUUUGAAGACAAAGUUAUGCUGGGAUGAGAUUAGUUAUGCUAGGAUUAGUUAUCCUAAGAUUUAUUAUGUUGGGAUUAGUUAUCCUGGUAUUCUCACUUUCCUUUUUGGCUCGUUUAAAAAAGAAUGCACAUUUCCUUUUUUGACAACUCUUUAGUUCCAUUUUUUCACAUGAUAUGUUUAAGACCACAAAAUUAAAGGACAUUUUGGUACAUGCUACAUAUCUUUAGUGUAAGACCACAAGAUUCAAAAUUUUCUUAAUUUUUUAUUAAACUCCGUGUCAAGUCAAAAUUAGACAAAUAAAUUGAAAAGGAGGGAGUAUUGACUGUUUGGUUUGUUGUAGUAAAAAUAACAUGCAUUGCAUAAUUCCUAAGAAGAAAUUAUUUGUUUACAAAAUACCGUCCACUUUAUUUAGUAGAAAUAGGGUUGGAGGGACCUCAAGGAUGCUUUUGUCAUUUUCAUUGUUUUAUCCAGAGAAAACUAAUCGUAGUACUAUUAUUCCACCAUCUAGUAAUUUUUUUUUCAGAGUUCAGAAAUUAGGCACUUUUAUUAGGGUCCACUUUCUAAUUACUUAAGCUUUUAGAUAAUGUUAGUCACAUGGUUUGAUAGUUUGUUGGGAGUGAAUUAAAACUUGAAGUUUGAAGUUUUGUGGAUUUUGAUUUCAGUUAGCAUUCUGAAUGAAGUGGAAGCAUUGUAUGAAAUGUUUAAGCAGUUGAGCAGUUCAAUCAUUGAUGAUGGUUUGAUACAUAAGGUAAGCAAAGAUGUUUCGUCGUGUUUUUAUGAUUAUUACUCCUCCGUCUCAUAAUAAAUGUCAUCUUAGCCAAAAAAAAUUGUCUCAUAAUAAGUGUCACCUUAGGAAAUCAAGACAUAAAUUGGCUAGUUUUUUCCAAAUCUACCCUUUGACAAAAACUGAAAAGUUAAAGUAACAUCUAAAUGAUAAUUGGACAAGCCACAUAGUAACUUGGUAUUGUUGGAUUCCCAAUGUCAAAAUGAUUACUACUCAUGCAUGCUCUAAUCAAGAGGAAAAAAUAAUUUAUUUUUAUUAUGUAGGGGUAAUUUACUAAACUUCACAUUGCAUUAUUGUUUUCUUAAUAUGUGUCUUUUUGGUUAAGGUGACACUUAUUAUGGGACGGAGGGAGUAGUUGAUAGCUCAAUUUGAUACUAUCCAACUUGUAUUUUGUGGCUGGGGUAACCUUUCUAUUUCCCCAAGCUAUGUUGCUUGGAUCCUCCAAAAAUGUUGCCACACCCGCAUCAGAUCCUCAAAAAAUGCAUACUUACCCUCCAAAAAUGUUGCCGCACCCCUAUCAGAUCCUCAAAAAAUGCAUACUUAUUAGAGGAUCUGACACACCUAGCGAUAUUUUUUGAAGAGUCUGAGCAACUUAAUCGCUGAGUAUAUCCUGGGAGGAGGUUUUAGAAGUACAAAAGUUUCGAGUAGGGGCUUGAGUUUGUUGUUGGGGUUAACUUAGAAUAUAUAGGAGGUCUAGAACUAGAAUGAUGAUGGCGCGUGGAAGAACCGAGUAAUUUCUAUAAUAUGCAAAAUGAUUUCAGAAUUAGAGAAAUUGCCAAUAAGGGGUUUGAGUUUGUUUUUGAGGUUAACUUGGAAUUUGUAGGAGAUCGGGAACUAGACUGAUGAUUGUGUGUGGAAGAACCAAGUAAUUUCUGUAAUAUGCACGCUGUUUCUAGUGCCUAUGGGCUAUGUUAUAUUUACCGGCAUGUCAGAAACAUUGUGCCAUUUUCUCUGCGAAGUUUCACCCUUUUAAUUUUACAUCACCUGGUGAAAAUAAUAAGUGACACCAUUUGCUCUCCCAACAUUUUUUGGAUAACGGUAGUGUCCUGGUCAUUUGCUCUCCAACUUAGCUAUCCUUGUAUAAAGUGGUAAAUAUU